AGCUGCUGGAAGCCUUUUUUCCACACUGUUGGACUCAACUUUUUAGCUCCACUAGAGGGCGACAUUAUCAAGUAGGCGGUGCACUACUUCUGCACUGUGUUCAACCAUUCUGUCAAUAAUAACUGCUGCUGUGAAGAGAACAAUUGUCACACUGAAUGUUGAACAUCAGCUAGUUUCUCCUGUUGAUUUAAACCUUGUUGUAGAGAUGGAACAUUGGCUGUGGAUUAUUCUUGCUGCUCUUUUCUUUGAGUGUAAAGGAGAAGACAGAGUGACCCAGCCACCAGGAGAUGUCAUUGCUACUGAAGGAGAGACAGUUACACUUGGAUGUACAUUUGAGACCAGUUACCCAAAUCCAACUUUGUUCUGGUACAAACAGGAUGGAAACAACAGCCCCAAAUUCAUACUGAGCCGCAUUCAACGAGAUGAAGGGAACACAGCAGCUGAGUUCAAGGAGAGAUUUUCAUCCACACUGAAUUCCACCUUAAAAUCAGUUCCUCUGAAGAUCCAGAAGCUUCAGCUGUCUGACUCUGCUGUGUACUACUGUGCUCUGCAGCCCACAGUGACAGGAAACACCAAAACUCUGUACAAAAACCUUUGGAGCAAAGACAACAGAAUACUCCACAACAUCCACUAGAGGGACUCACACACUGUAGAAAAGGCCCCAAAGUUGGGACAUAUUAUGUU